ACGCUAAUACCGCAUACGUCCUACGGGAGAAAGCGGGGGAUCGAAAGACCUCGCGCGGUUGGAUGGACCGAUGUUCGAUUAGCUAGUUGGUGAGGUAAUGGCUCACCAAGGCGACGAUCGAUAGCUGGUCUGAGAGGAUGAUCAGCCACACUGGGACUGAGACACGGCCCAGACUCCUACGGGAGGCAGCAGUGGGGAAUAUUGGACAAUGGGCGAAAGCCUGAUCCAGCAAUGCCGCGUGUGUGAAGAAGGCCUUCGGGUUGUAAAGCACUUUUAUCAGGAGCGAAAUACUGCCGGCUA
rnacentral:rRNA from 1 species